rnacentral:lncRNA from 1 species
GUGGUUUCUAUGAUUCUAUCUAUUUUCGAAAUUUGUGAUUUGGUUAUUUUGUUUUGUCCUCUGAUCUUAAAACAUGAAAUCGAACCGUACUUGUUAUUUAAAAACAAUGAAAUUAAUAUCGUUCAUAUAUCAUAUGAUAAUACGAACUGCUUUCAAUUUCGAUGGCCAAGGAGGGUAUUGGCCUAAUGAGUUCAUAUAAAGUGAUAAAAAGCCUGCGGCGAUUUUAAGAUAUUAAGCUCGUGGCGAGAUUUGUUCGACUCCGAUCCUAAUCGACAGUUAUUGCAAAUAUUUCAACUUAAGGUCGCCUGAUGUCCGGCUUCUCCUACCUAUGAUGAGAGGUCAAUAAAAUACAACAAAUGCCGUUUAUACAUGUACAUGAUGUAGUGGUGUUUAACACCAAAACAAAGAACAAAUUUUUAGAAAUAACUUGAAAAUACAUAUAUGUAU